UAUUUUUUCCGGCGGGGUUUUCUUGUCGUUGUUUCGUUUCAGUAACCUUAUUUUAUCGUCGGCUCAAAACCGUUUCUGCGAUUGUUUUCUGACACAUUUCCCGCUUCGGUAGAAGGACCUACACGUGCAGUUACGAUGGUAACCGUAUUUGCGAGCUGCGGUCCGUCACGAUCGGUUAUCUCGUCGUCGAUUUGCGGUCGCGUCGGCUGUAAAACACGAAUGUCAUAUACGAAACGUCC